AUGUGGUUUAAUUCGAAGUCAACGCGAAGAGCCUUACCAGGUCUUGACAUCCCGAUGCUAUUUCUAGAGAUAGAAGUUACUUCGGUACAUCGGUGACAGGUGGUGCAUGGUUGUCGUCAGCUCGUGUCGUGAGAUGUUGGGUUAAGUCCCGCAACGAGCGCAACCCCUAUUGUUAGUUUGCCAUCAUUCAGUUGGGCACUCUAGCGAGACUGCCGGUAAUAAACCGGAGGAAGGUGGGGAUGACGUCAAAUCAUCAUGCCCCUUAUGACCUGGGCUACACACGUGCUACAAUGGUUGGUACAACGAGUUGCGAGUCGGUGACGGCGAGCUAAUCUCUUAAAGCCAAUCUCAGUUCGGAUUGUAGGCUGCAACUCGCCUACAUGAAGUCGGAAUCGCUAGUAAUCGCGGAUCAGCACGCCGCGGUGAAUACGUUCCCGGGCCUU
rnacentral:rRNA from 1 species